UUGCCCUACGGGAGGCAGCAGUGGGGAAUAUUGCACAAUGGGGGGAACCCUGAUGCAGCGACGCCGCGUGGGUGAAGGAGCACCUCGGUGCGUAAAGCCCUAUCGGCAGGGAAGAAACAGACGGUACCUGACUAAGAAGCCCCGGCUAACUACGUGCCAGCAGCCGCGGUAAUACGUAGGGGGCAAGCGUUAUCCGGAUUCACUGGGUGUAAAGGGGGCGCAGACGGCGAUGCAAGCCAGGAGUGAAAGCCCGGGGCCCAACCCCGGGACUGCUCUUGGAACUGCGUGGCUGGAGUGCAGGAGGG
rnacentral:rRNA from 1 species